rnacentral:lncRNA from 1 species
AGUGGCGUGUCUAGGCAAGAGAGUGUUCAGAGCACUCUUGGCUGUGAGAAGAUGGAGACUCUAUCAGUGCGGCUUCUAGUGUGAGGUGGCUGAAGAGGUAGCUGAAGCUUCCACAAGCACUCCAUGAAGAUGGCGAGUUCAGAAGGUGUUGCAAUGGAGUAAUGGUGCAGAUCAUGAAGCUAUCCAUCCAAGCUUGUUCCUGUGAGAGUCUCAAGCUUGAGGGGGAGUGUUGAAGCUUACAUGAUUUGAGAGUACUUGGUGGUUAUUCAAGAAGAGGAGCGGAUCAGUUAUGAAGCAUAAUGAAGGAUGAAGAAGCAAUCACCAAUGCGGCCUCUAGAGUGAGGUGAUUGGUACUACAGUCUGAAGCAUCCUGUCAUGAAGGUUUCAGUAACAUGGUGGUGACUCAUCAAGAAGAAGCAGCCAAGACUCAGCUUGUAUCUAUCAUGGAAGAUCUGGUAGUCCGAGCACUUGAUCACAACAAGAAGGUUGUGAGAAAGGGGGAGAGACCAAGAUCUGUCUAAAGAAGAGUACAAGAAGUGUUGAUGAUGAGCAAGAGGAGUGGGUUCUAUCUUGCAUCACAUGAGGGCCAUGAUCCAGAGUCUUUGUGUCCC